AGUACAAAACACAUGGUGACCUAUGAACUUCUUGGAUGGGAACAGUGAAGACAGCCUGAACCACCCAACAGAGACAUUCAGCCAUAUACGAUAAUGAAAAACAAAAUUUAACUCACCCGGUUCAGCUAAAGAGUUUAAUGAAGGGAUGGCGCUAUGGGCUGAAUGGUUGGGCCACUCGAAAAUUCACGUGUUGAAACGCUACUCCUCAAGGUUACAGCAAAAACAGAACAAAACAAACAAGUCAUCUAGGAAGUGGGCUCUCACCACAGAAUCUUCUGAUGCCCUGCACUUGGAUUCCCCAGCCUCCGGAACUGUGAGAAAUAACUUCCUGUCAUUUAAGCCAUCCACUUUGCGGUGUUUUGCUAUAGAAGCCCAAACGCAAAUGGUUUACUGAGAUGCAGGCAGAGUCGAAGAAACCAAAUAGGAUGUGGAGACCGCCAGGAACUAACAAUGCAGGAAGCUGUUAUUAGCCUCAGACCUAAAGGAGCAAGAGGAGGAAAUAAUAUUUCUGGAACCCAGUGAGAGCUGGUGUCACAGAGGAGGGGGCGCCUCCCUGGAGCUGUGGCUGUGAGGGCAGAGCCACACCGGAGGCAAGGGGCCGAAGGAGAGGUACUUAAUCUCUCUUUCCACCUUCCCACCUCCUGUUGUCGGUAGCCAGUGGACAGUCAUGCAGCAAAAACAUCUGGGAGAUGCAGUCUACAAGGGUCAGGACAGAGACCAGCAGAAGAGAAUGGAGAGCAGAGAAUGAAUGACCGGGUUGGGGGGGUGAGAAUAGUGUAUUCACCCAAGAAAUAUUUUGUUAAACUAAUUGCUAUGUUCCAGACAUUGGGCUAAGUGUACUUGACCCAAUAAGCUUUGUUUGGAAUUUGUAAGUAGAUCUAUUGGGGAUAGAUCUUGAGGCAAUUUCUUUAUCUCUUGAAUAUUAUUUCUACUUACGGCAUUUCAGUAGGGAGGGCAUUUCAGUAGGGAUAGCUCCAUGUGGAUUAGGUUUCCAGUGAGGUUUGCUACCUUUUGCUUCUGCUUACAUAAUAACACUCUUUGAAAAGCCUUAAGUAUAAAACAGGCACAACUUCUUCUAAUUAAGCCGAGAAGUAAAAUAUACAGUUGAAUUUUGGAAUAUGACAUGAGGGAGUUUUCUAGGCUCUUUGUUGGCUUUAAAGAAAAAGCACAAAUAAGGAUGCAGAACACAGGAGACAGGAGGCAGGAACAAAAACAAAUAACUUGGUGAGCAAUUCAAAGGGGAAUUCACAAAUUCUGCUUCCUGAAGCCUUAAUGAGAAAGAUGGAGACAUUUGGGUGAGGAGUUCAUAUUAUUACCGGGAAUGUUUUGUAUGGAGAAAUGAAAUGGAUUUUCAAAGAAGCAGCAUUCUGAUAAAAAUCCUAAAUCAGAAAUGAAAAAACUUGCUUCUUCAUUCAGAGCUACCCAAGCCAGUCUGUGGAAUAUUGAAUGAACUUGCAUUUCGCUCUUCUACCCCCUGGCAAUUUUAGAGGCCAUUCCUUUGCUCUUUAAGCACUCCUACCGUCUCCCUUCCCUUCAGAGGGGCCAAGCGGAAGAAUUUAGAUAGUACACGUAUAUCUUAUAUCACACAGUAGAUUGGUUCCUUCGCCACUUUAUUAAAUUGGUAUUUCUUUAUGAAUGUGUAAAGCUUGAGAAGCAGAAUGUCCAGUAGUAGCUUCUGCUACUGUGUAGACUUGGGCAAGCCACUUAAUUUCUCAGAAACUCAUGGUGCCCAUCGGUGAAAUGGGGGUGAUGGAUGAAGAUCAACUGGAAAACAGAGGGUUUACCUGGGCUUCAAGAGGUCAUUAAUCACAUGAAUCAUAUGGAAAAUUGUGUCUGCACAUAUCUGUGUGUUCAUAUUCCCACUUGUGAAGACAGGAUCAGUGUGUUUUACUAGAUUCUCCAAGAACUCUGUUGUUCCUAAAAACUAUUAUGCAAAUCUCAACCAAAACAUGUUAGAUAAAUCCUAUUUUAAACUGAAAAAUUCUACAACUACAUAAAAAUCUUCCAUCGAGAUUG
ensembl:lncRNA